rnacentral:rRNA from 1 species
AUUGAACGCUGGCGGCAGGCCUAACACAUGCAAGUCGAGCGGAUGAGUGGAGCUUGCUCCAUGAUUCAGCGGCGGACGGGUGAGUAAUGCCUAGGAAUCUGCCUGGUAGUGGGGGACAACGUUUCGAAAGGAACGCUAAUACCGCAUACGUCCUACGGGAGAAAGCAGGGGACCUUCGGGCCUUGCGCUAUCAGAUGAGCCUAGGUCGGAUUAGCUAGUUGGUGGGGUAAAGGCCUACCAAGGCGACGAUCCGUAACUGGUCUGAGAGGAUGAUCAGUCACACUGGAACUGAGACACGGUCCAGACUCCUACGGGAGGCAGCAGUGGGGAAUAUUGGACAAUGGGCGAAAGCCUGAUCCAGCCAUGCCGCGUGUGUGAAGAAGGUCUUCGGAUUGUAAAGCACUUUAAGUUGGGAGGAAGGGCAGUAAAUUAAUACCUUGCUGUUUUGACGUUACCAACAGAAUAAGCACCGGCUAACUUCGUGCCAGCAGCCGCAGUAAAAC